UACAGAGGGUGCGAGCGUUAAUCGGACUUACUGGACGUAAAGGGUACGUAGGUGGUUAAUUAAGUCAGUUGUGAAAUCCCAGGGCUUAACCUUGGAACUGCAAUUGAAACUGGUUGACUAGAGUCGAAGAGAGGGGUGCGGAAUUUCCGGUGUAGCGGUGAAAUGCGUAGAUAUCGGAAGGAACACCAGUUGCGAAGGCGGCACCCUGGCUUCAGACUGACGCUGAGGUACGAAAGCGUGGGUAGCGAACAGG
rnacentral:rRNA from 1 species